rnacentral:rRNA from 1 species
CCUUACCUACUCUUGACAUCCAGAGAACUUACCAGAGAUGGUUUGGUGCCUUCGGGAACUCUGAGACAGGUGCUGCAUGGCUGUCGUCAGCUCGUGUUGUGAAAUGUUGGGUUAAGUCCCGCAACGAGCGCAACCCUUAUCCUUUGUUGCCAGCGGUUCGGCCGGGAACUCAAAGGAGACUGCCAGUGAUAAACUGGAGGAAGGUGGGGAUGACGUCAAGUCAUCAUGGCCCUUACGAGUAGGGCUACACACGUGCUACAAUGGCGCAUACAAAGAGAAGCGACCUCGCGAGAGCAAGCGGACCUCAUAAAGUGCGUCGUAGUCCGGAUUGGAGUCUGCAACUCGACUCCAUGAAGUCGGAAUCGCUAGUAAUCGUAGAUCAGAAU